GGGUUGUGAGGUUAAGCGACUAAGCGUACACGGUGGAUGCCCUGGCAGUCAGAGGCGAUGAAGGACGUGCUAAUCUGCGAUAAGCGUCGGUAAGGUGAUAUGAACCGUUAUAACCGGCGAUUUCCGAAUGGGGAAACCCAGUGUGUUUCGACACACUAUCAUUAACUGAAUCCAUAGGUUAAUGAGGCGAACCGGGGGAACUGAAACAUCUAAGUACCCCGAGGAAAAGAAAUCAACCGAGAUUCCCCCAGUAGCGGCGAGCGAACGGGGAGGAGCCCAGAGCCUGAAUCAGUGUGUGUGUUAGUGGAAGCGUCUGGAAAGGCGCGCGAUACAGGGUGACAGCCCCGUACACAAAAAUGCACAUAUUGUGAGCUCGAUGAGUAGGGCGGGACACGUGGUAUCCUGUCUGAAUAUGGGGGGACCAUCCUCCAAGGCUAAAUACUCCUGACUGACCGAUAGUGAACCAGUACCGUGAGGGAAAGGCGAAAAGAACCCCGGCGAGGGGAGUGAAAAAGAACCUGAAACCGUGUACGUACAAGCAGUGGGAGCACGCUUAGGCGUGUGACUGCGUACCUUUUGUAUAAUGGGUCAGCGACUUAUAUUCUGUAGCAAGGUUAACCGAAUAGGGGAGCCGAAGGGAAACCGAGUCUUAACUGGGCGUUAAGUUGCAGGGUAUAGACCCGAAACCCGGUGAUCUAGCCAUGGGCAGGUUGAAGGUUGGGUAACACUAACUGGAGGACCGAACCGACUAAUGUUGAAAAAUUAGCGGAUGACUUGUGGCUGGGGGUGAAAGGCCAAUCAAACCGGGAGAUAGCUGGUUCUCCCCGAAAGCUAUUUAGGUAGCGCCUCGUGAAUUCAUCUCCGGGGGUAGAGCACUGUUUCGGCAAGGGGGUCAUCCCGACUUACCAACCCGAUGCAAACUGCGAAUACCGGAGAAUGUUAUCACGGGAGACACACGGCGGGUGCUAACGUCCGUCGUGAAGAGGGAAACAACCCAGACCGCCAGCUAAGGUCCCAAAGUCAUGGUUAAGUGGGAAACGAUGUGGGAAGGCCCAGACAGCCAGGAUGUUGGCUUAGAAGCAGCCAUCAUUUAAAGAAAGCGUAAUAGCUCACUGGUCGAGUCGGCCUGCGCGGAAGAUGUAACGGGGCUAAACCAUGCACCGAAGCUGCGGCAGCGACGCUUAUGCGUUGUUGGGUAGGGGAGCGUUCUGUAAGCCUGCGAAGGUGUGCUGUGAGGCAUGCUGGAGGUAUCAGAAGUGCGAAUGCUGACAUAAGUAACGAUAAAGCGGGUGAAAAGCCCGCUCGCCGGAAGACCAAGGGUUCCUGUCCAACGUUAAUCGGGGCAGGGUGAGUCGACCCCUAAGGCGAGGCCGAAAGGCGUAGUCGAUGGGAAACAGGUUAAUAUUCCUGUACUUGGUGUUACUGCGAAGGGGGGACGGAGAAGGCUAUGUUGGCCGGGCGACGGUUGUCCCGGUUUAAGCGUGUAGGCUGGUUUUCCAGGCAAAUCCGGAAAAUCAAGGCUGAGGCGUGAUGACGAGGCACUACGGUGCUGAAGCAACAAAUGCCCUGCUUCCAGGAAAAGCCUCUAAGCAUCAGGUAACAUCAAAUCGUACCCCAAACCGACACAGGUGGUCAGGUAGAGAAUACCAAGGCGCUUGAGAGAACUCGGGUGAAGGAACUAGGCAAAAUGGUGCCGUAACUUCGGGAGAAGGCACGCUGAUAUGUAGGUGAAGUCCCUUGCGGAUGGAGCUGAAAUCAGUCGAAGAUACCAGCUGGCUGCAACUGUUUAUUAAAAACACAGCACUGUGCAAACACGAAAGUGGACGUAUACGGUGUGACGCCUGCCCGGUGCCGGAAGGUUAAUUGAUGGGGUCAGCGCAAGCGAAGCUCUUGAUCGAAGCCCCGGUAAACGGCGGCCGUAACUAUAACGGUCCUAAGGUAGCGAAAUUCCUUGUCGGGUAAGUUCCGACCUGCACGAAUGGCGUAAUGAUGGCCAGGCUGUCUCCACCCGAGACUCAGUGAAAUUGAACUCGCUGUGAAGAUGCAGUGUACCCGCGGCAAGACGGAAAGACCCCGUGAACCUUUACUAUAGCUUGACACUGAACAUUGAGCCUUGAUGUGUAGGAUAGGUGGGAGGCUUUGAAGUGUGGACGCCAGUCUGCAUGGAGCCGACCUUGAAAUACCACCCUUUAAUGUUUGAUGUUCUAACGUUGACCCGUAAUCCGGGUUGCGGACAGUGUCUGGUGGGUAGUUUGACUGGGGCGGUCUCCUCCUAAAGAGUAACGGAGGAGCACGAAGGUUGGCUAAUCCUGGUCGGACAUCAGGAGGUUAGUGCAAUGGCAUAAGCCAGCUUGACUGCGAGCGUGACGGCGCGAGCAGGUGCGAAAGCAGGUCAUAGUGAUCCGGUGGUUCUGAAUGGAAGGGCCAUCGCUCAACGGAUAAAAGGUACUCCGGGGAUAACAGGCUGAUACCGCCCAAGAGUUCAUAUCGACGGCGGUGUUUGGCACCUCGAUGUCGGCUCAUCACAUCCUGGGGCUGAAGUAGGUCCCAAGGGUAUGGCUGUUCGCCAUUUAAAGUGGUACGCGAGCUGGGUUUAGAACGUCGUGAGACAGUUCGGUCCCUAUCUGCCGUGGGCGCUGGAGAACUGAGGGGGGCUGCUCCUAGUACGAGAGGACCGGAGUGGACGCAUCACUGGUGUUCGGGUUGUCAUGCCAAUGGCACUGCCCGGUAGCUAAAUGCGGAAGAGAUAAGUGCUGAAAGCAUCUAAGCACGAAACUUGCCCCGAGAUGAGUUCUCCCUGACUCCUUGAGAGUCCUGAAGGAACGUUGAAGACGACGACGUUGAUAGGCCGGGUGUGUAAGCGCAGCGAUGCGUUGAGCUAACCGGUACUAAUGAACCGUGAGGCUUAACCUUACAACGCCGAAG
rnacentral:rRNA from 1 species